rnacentral:rRNA from 1 species
CGCCUCUGCUAAAGAGGAGGAAGGAAUGGGCAACGGUAGGUCAGCAUGCCCCGAAUUAUCCGGGCUACACGCGGGCUACAAUGGGCAGGACAAUGGGCCCCGACACCGAAAGGUGAAGGUAAUCUCUUAAACCUGUUCUAAGUUCGGAUUGUGGGCUGCAACUCGCCCACAUGAAGCUGGAAUCCGUAGUAAUCGCGUUUCAAAAUAGCGCGGUGAAUGCCUCCCUGCUCCUUGCACAACCUCCUUACUCUCCCUACUCCUUUCACAUCUUGUUACCUCACGCAACGAGCCACACAACCCGUUACACACCCCCU